AGCUAGCGAGGGCUUUGAGACGGCCGAGAGUUUGAGCGCCAAGGCUCUCUCUCCCCAGGGGACUCUGCAACCUGACUAGGUGCUCCUUCCCUGAGGUGUGUGCUCGACAAAGGUUGCUGAAAAAGUUCACGUUGAAAUUUUUUUUGAUGAUAAUAUCGUGUUACUCAUUUCCUUUGUUUCUUAGCAUAGUAACAUUCCAGGGAGCUGCCCGGGGAAGCUUAACGCUCGAUGCGGCCAAAGAGAUGUCAUGAUUUUGAGGGGAGCUUUUUCUGCUAUGGAUAUGAGACCGUGCUUGGAAGAAAUGAUUUAUUGCAAAUUUACUAUGAUGGACAAUCUGUCUUUCAGGGUGGUAGGAAUGUAUCAUGGUGGGAGAGUCAUGGCAGCAGGCAGCUGGAACAGGACACUAAGUAAGAACACCUUCAACUACAAGCAGAAGUCAAGGAGAACUGAAAGUGGGUCCCUGAAGUCAGCUCUGGAAAACUGAGAAGAGUGCUGCGUGCAGAAUGCUUCGCUGGAUGUUUUUUUCCUCUAUUCUCACAGACAACUGGAACCUUGAGAGCCAAGGGAGAUUGUGGAGAGGAUGUGAGCAGAUGGCCGCUGAGGAUAGCUGACCGGGUGGGUGGGCUGGAACCUAGGCCAGGACCUGCCACCUGAGGAUUGUGCCUGCGAUGUCCAUAUGAUUGUGAACAGCUAAACAGGGAGCUCUGCUCUGUUGAAAAUCAUAAAGUUGAAAAUGAAAA
rnacentral:lncRNA from 1 species